GGGAGUGGACCUCAGUGGUAGAGCACUCACCUAGCAUGUGCAAGGCCCUGAGUUCAAACCUCAGCACCACCA
rfam:Ictidomys tridecemlineatus contig051795, whole genome shotgun sequence.